rnacentral:rRNA from 1 species
UACGUAGGGUGCAAGCGUUGUCCGGAAUUAUUGGGCGUAAAGAGCUCGUAGGCGGUUUGUCGCGUCUGCUGUGAAAACCCGAGGCUCAACCUCGGGCCUGCAGUGGGUACGGGCAGACUAGAGUGCGGUAGGGGAGAUUGGAAUUCCUGGUGUAGCGGUGGAAUGCGCAGAUAUCAGGAGGAACACCAAUGGCGAAGGCAGAUCUCUGGGCCGUAACUGACGCUGAGGUGCGAAAGCGUGGGGAGCAAACAGG